CAACUCGACUCCAUGAAGUCGGAAUCGCUAGUAAUCGUGGAUCAGAAUGCCACGGUGAAUACGUUCCCGGGCCUUGUACACACCGCCCGUCACACCAUGGGAGUGGGUUGCAAAAGAAGUAGGUAGCUUAACCUUCGGGAGGGCGCUUACCACUUUGUGAUUCAUGACUGGGGUGAAGUCGUAACAAGGUAACCGUAGGGGAACCUGCGGUUGGAUCACCUCCUUA
rnacentral:rRNA from 2 species